rnacentral:tRNA from 1 species
UGGGUAUGGUGCAGUUGGUUAGCGCGCCAGAUUGUGGUUCUGGAUACGGUAAGGCACAGGACUUUGACUCCUGCAUUCGUUGGUUCGAAUCCAACUAGCCCAG